rnacentral:rRNA from 1 species
UACGUAGGGUGCGAGCGUUGUCCGGAAUUAUUGGGCGUAAAGAGCUCGUAGGCGGUUCGUCGCGUCGGCUGUGAAAACCCGGAGCUCAACUCCGGGCCUGCAGUCGAUACGGGCGGACUUGAGUGUUGCAGGGGAGACUGGAAUUCCUGGUGUAGCGGUGAAAUGCGCAGAUAUCAGGAGGAACACCGGUGGCGAAGGCGGGCACCUGGGCUAACACUGACGCUGAUGCGCGAAAGCUAGGGGAGCAAACAGG